AACGAACGCUGGCGGCAGGCCUAACACAUGCAAGUCGAGCGAGGACUUCGGUCCUAGCGCCGGACGGGUGAGUAACGCGUGGGAACGAGCCCUUUGCUACGGAAUCUCCAAGGGAAAAUUGGCGUAAUAACGUAUGUGUACUUAGGGGGAAGGAUUUAUCGGCAACGGAUCGGCGGUGGGGUGAUUAGGUAGGUGGUGGGGGAAUGGCCGACCAAGCCGACGAUGCAUAGCUGGUAUGAGAGGAGGAACAGGCACACUGGGGCUGAGAUACGGACCAGACUCCUACGGGAGGCAGCAGUGGGGAAUCUGAGACAAUGGGGGCAAGCCUAAUCUAGCCAGGCCGCGUGAGCGAUGAAGGCCUUAGGGUUGUAAAGCUCUUUCAGGGGGGAAGAUGAUGACUGUACCGCCAGAAGAAGCCCCGGCUAACUCCGUGCCAGCAGCCGCCGUAAUAC
rnacentral:rRNA from 1 species